rnacentral:rRNA from 1 species
UCUAUUUGCCUCAACGUAGCGAUUCUGGACUGACCAUACGUCCGAGCUUAGUGACUAUGAUCAGCGUGGAUUUUCUCUCUGUGUCUGCUACUGCCGAUGCCUUUCUUCCCCGAUACUUCUGUCGUACAUCCUUUCCAUCUCCCAGAAUUUCGAUGGCGUAUUAGCAGGCUCGCACGGCUGUCGAGUCGAAUUCUCGCUGUCCAACUCCUUCUUGGAUGACUUCCGUAUGUUCAUGGUGUUCUUAAUGGGAGGUAUAUGUCUUCUAAAGCUAAAUACCGGCCAGAGACCGAUAGCGCACAAGUAGAGUGAUCGAAAGAUGAAAAGCACUUUGAAAAGAGAGUUAAAAAGUACGUGAAAUUGUUGAAAGGGAAACGUUUAUGACCGGACUUGGACUUGGUUAAUCAUCUGGGGUUCUCCCCAGUGCACUUUUCCAGUCCAGGCCAGCAUCAGUUUUCCCCGGGGGAUAAAGACUUCAGUAAUGUGGCUCUCUUCGGUCAGUGUUAUAACCCGUUGUGGAAUACCCUGGAGGGGACUGAGGUUCGCGCAUCUGCAAGGAUGCUGGCGUAAUGUGCAUCAACGACCCGUCUUGAGACACGGACCACGGAGUCGUCUUCGUAUGCGAGUGUUCGGGUGUCACACCCCUACACGUAAUGAAAGUGAACGCAGGUGAGAGCUUCGGCGCAUCAUCGACCGAUCCUGAUGUUCUCGGAUGGAUUUGAGUAAGAGCAUACGGAGCCGGACCCGACAGAAAGAUGAACUAUGCCUGUAUGAGGUGAAUGCCAGACGGAAACUCUGUCUGGAGGCUCGCAGCGGUUCUGACGUGCAAUCGAUCGAUCAAUAUGGGUGAUGGAGUGGCGAAGACUAAUCGAACCAUCCUAGCUAGCUGGCUUGCCUGCCUGACGUUUCCCCUUCCCCGGAAGGAAACCA